UGGGGAAUUUUGGACAAUGGGGGCAACCCUGAUCCAGCAAUGCCGCGUGUGUGAAGAAGGCCUUCGGGUUGUAAAGCACUUUUGUCCGGAAAGAAAACUUCGGGGCUAAUACCCCUGGAGGAUGACUGUACCGGAAGAAUAAGCACCGGCUAACUACGUGCCAGCAGCCGCGGUAAUACGUAGGGUGCGAGCGUUAAUCGGAAUUACUGGGCGUAAAGCGUGCGCAGGCGGUGCUGUAAGACCGAUGUGAAAUCCCCGGGCUUAACCUGGGAACUGCAUUGGUGACUGCAGCGCUGGAGUAUGGCAGAGGGGGGUGGAAUUCCACGUGUAGCAGUGAAAUGCGUAGAGAUGUGGAGGAACACCGAUGGCGAAGGCAGCCCCCUGGGCCAAUACUGACGCUCAUGCACGAAAGCGUGGGGAGCAAACAGG
rnacentral:rRNA from 1 species